rnacentral:lncRNA from 1 species
UUUAGUUAAGUCUGACUCAUUUCUAGGGGAAAAACUCUAAAUCUUUCCUUCACUUUGAGCAAUGUUCUGAUUAGAUAAAUGAAGUGGAGAAGAGUAGUUUUAUUCUGAAGGUAAUUGAAUUUAGACUAUACUAUGUGACAGAAUUUUAAAAAAUUAUACAAAUGUUUUAUUUAGAAAUUGGGAUUUACUUAAAAUAAUUUUGGAAUAAUGCUCCAAAACUUACUCAGAUUUAUGCACUAUACCUAUUGCCACUGGCCACUUCAAAGUGAUUUUUUGUUUCCUCUAAUAGUUUGCCGCAGACUUUAGUUUGGAGAUGCCCCUGUAAUUUUUAUGGGGGAGGUAAGUGAGUCACAAACAUUCUUUUGAAGGGAAAUCUAGUCAGUUGCUUGAAAUAGCACACACAGCCCAAAUAAAACAAGGACUGACUAGGUUGUAAAGCAAUGACCUUAUGAUUUAAA